CCUACGUGAGGCAGCAGUAGGGAAUCUUCCACAAUGGGCGAAAGCCUGAUGGAGCAACGCCGCGUGGGUGAAGAAGGUCUUCGGAUCGUAAAACCCUGUUGUUAGAGAAGAAAGUGCGUGAGAGUAACUGUUCACGUUUCGACGGUAUCUAACCAGAAAGCCACGGCUAACUACGUGCCAGCAGCCGCGGUAAUACGUAGGUGGCAAGCGUUAUCCGGUUUUAUUGGGCGUAAAGGGAACGCAGGCGGUCUUUUAAGUCUGAUGUGAAAGCCUUCGGCUUAACCGGAGUAGUGCAUUGGAAACUGGGAGACUUGAGUGCAGAAGAGGAGAGUGGAACUCCAUGUGUAGCGGUGAAAUGCGUAGAUAUAUGGAAGAACACCAGUGGCGAAAGCGGCUCUCUGGUCUGUAACUGACGCUGAGGUUCGAAAGCGUGGGUAGCAAACAGGAUUAGAUACCCUGGUAGUC
rnacentral:rRNA from 1 species